CCAGAAAAUUCUUUUCCAAUUCUUUUCCAAGCUACAGGCACACCCCAAGACUCUGAAUGGCAAGAAAAGGUUACUGAUGUGCCUUGGUUAAAGGAGAUGCCUUCCUGGAAGCGUUCCUUAGCUUCCCCUUAUGGGGAGCCAGAAGGGUAACCUUAAAGCAUGAAGACUUGGAGAAAGCCUGGGGGACACAAUCCAAGUUGUCAGCCCUUGAAGUUGUUCCAGAUGAGUUCACUGCUGACUCCACAAGCUUGACCUGCUACUGGUUCUCCAUACAGAUGAUGUACCAAGAACUCCAGAGAGAAGGUAAGAAUUUGAAAACAACUUGGAGAGAGUCCAGGAAACUCCUAUAUUUGAACUGUUGAACUCCAGCAGGCAAAAAACCAGAAGACUGCCUAUGAAUAAGAGACUCAACCCUCCCACCAACAAGGGGCAGAAAUAGCAAUCCAGGCUUCCAGGCUUUCAUCACUACCAAUCUAUUCCUGCUUUCUUUCAAAAUCUCCCCUCUUCUGCUUUCUCCCUACAAACUUCAU